rnacentral:rRNA from 1 species
GUAUAAGCAUUAUACAGCGAAACUGCGAAUGGCUCAUUAUAUAAGUUAUCGUUUACUUGAUAGCACCUUACUACUUGGAUAACCGUGGUAAUUCUAGAGCUAAUACAUGCACAAAAUCCCGACGCAAGAAGGGAUGUAUUUAUUAGAUACAAAACCAAUGCCCUCCGGGGCUCACUGGUGAUUCAUGAUAACUUCGCGAAUCGCACAGCCUUGCGCUGGCGAUGGUUCAAUCAAGUUUCUUCCCUAUCAACUUUCGAUGUUUGGGUAUUGGCCAAACAUGGUUGCAACGGGUAACGGAGGGUUAGGGCUCGACCCCGGAGAAGGAGCCUGAGAAACGGCUACUACAUCCAAGGAAGGCAGCAGGCGCGCAAAUUACCCAAUCCCGACACGGGGAGGUAGUGACAAUAAAUACUGAUACAGGGCUCUAUUGGGUCUUGUAAUUGGAAUGAGUACAAUCUAAAUCUCUUAACGAGGAACAAUUGGAGGGCAAGUCUGGUGCACAC